AAAAUGACGAUGAGAGGAACUAUUACAAUUCAGAUUCCGUGUUAGAGAGCUGGCGGUUGGUGCAAGGCAGUCAUGGGAUAGAAUUAGAACUCUUCCUCGAGUAGCCGACCGAAAUUCAAUUUAUUAAAGUAGGCUCGGACGGAUCUUCCACCGUUAAAAGGAAGAGGAUAUCGGAUCAUUGUGUUGAACCAUCAACAUCUAAGAGAUCCCGUAUCUGGCCGAGAAGACAACUUUAGUUGUCAAUUUGAGUGGUACCGCGAAUUAACCCUUCGUCUCAAGC
rnacentral:ncRNA from 1 species